AUUGAACGCUGGCGGCAGGCCUAACACAUGCAAGUCGAGCGGUAACAGGGGUAGCUUGCUACCCGCUGACGAGCGGCGGACGGGUGAGUAAUGCAUAGGAAUCUGCCCGGUAGUGGGGGAUAACCUGGGGAAACCCAGGCUAAUACCGCAUACGUCCUACGGGAGAAAGGGGGCUCCGGCUCCCGCUAUUGGAUGAGCCUAUGUCGGAUUAGCUAGUUGGUGAGGUAAAGGCUCACCAAGGCAACGAUCCGUAGCUGGUCUGAGAGGAUGAUCAGCCACAUCGGGACUGAGACACGGCCCGAACUCCUACGGGAGGCAGCAGUGGGGAAUAUUGGACAAUGGGGGCAACCCUGAUCCAGCCAUGCCGCGUGUGUGAAGAAGGCCUUCGGGUUGUAAAGCACUUUCAGCGAGGAAGAACGCCUAGUGGUUUAAUACCCAUUAGGAAAGAC
rnacentral:rRNA from 1 species